rnacentral:rRNA from 1 species
UGUCGGCGACGGAUCUUUCAAAUGUCUGCCCUAUCAACUUUCGAUGGUAGGUGAUCUGCCUACCAUGGUGAUAACGGGUAACGGGGAAUCAGGGUUCGAUUCCGGAGAGGGAGCCUGAGAAACGGCUACCACAUCCAAGGAAGGCAGCAGGCGCGAAAAUUACCCACUCCCGGCACGGGGAGGUAGUGACGAAAAAUACGAAUACGGGACUCACUCGAGGCUCCGUAAUUCGAAUGAGUACAAUCUAAAUCCUUUAACGAGGACCAAUUGGAGGGCAAGUCUGGUGCCAGCAGCCGCGGUAACUCCAGCUCCAAAAGCGUAUAUUAAAGUUGCUGCAGUUAAAAAGCUCGUAGUUGGAUCUGGGUCGUGCGUUCACAUGUUGUUGCUUGGUUCUGAUUUCGGUCAGUUUCAGGUGAUGAUAAAGUGGGCGUGCAGCCUUUCAGCCGUGUCUGCGUAAGCAGGUGUUGGCUGGCUGGUGAGCUUGCUCGCUGGCUAGUUGACAUGUUUCCUGAUGCCUUUAAACGGGUGUCGGGGGCGUACGGCACUUUUACUUUGAACAAAUUUGAGUGCUCAAAGCAGGCCCAUGUGCCUGAAAAGUCUUGCAUGGAAUAAUGGAAUAGGACUUCGGUUCUAUUUUGUUGGUUUCCGGAUCCGAAGUAAUGGUUAAGAGGAACAGACGGGGGCAUUUGUAUGGCGGCGUGAGAGGUGAAAUUCUAUGAUCGUCGCCAGACAAACUACAGCGAAAGCAUUUGCCAAGAAUGUUUUCAUUGAUCAGGAGCGAAAGUCAGAGGUUCGAAGACGAUCAGAUACCGUCCUAGUUCUGACCAUAAACGAUGCCAACUGACGAUCCGCGGCGGUUCUUUAACCGGCCCCGCGGGCAGUCCCCGGGAAACCCUUAAGUCUUUGGGCUCCGGGGGAAGUAUGGUUGCAAAGCUGAAACUUAAAGGAAUUGACGGAAGGGCACCACCAGGAGUGGAGCCUGCGGCUUAAUUCGACUCAACACGGGAAAACUCACCCGGCCCGGACACUGUGAGGAUUGACAGAUUGAUAGCUCUUUCUUGAUUCGGUGGUUGGUGGUGCAUGGCCGUUCUUAGUUGGUGGAGCGAUUUGUCUGGUUAAUUCCGAUAACGAACGAGACUUUGACCUACUAAUUAGUUUGCCUAUCCUCUGUGCUCGUGCAGAUCUCGGCUUCAGCUGCCUCCUUGUGGGGUGAUGGGGUCGUGGAUCGGCGGGUACGGCGUGGUGCUUACUUCUUAGAGGGACAAGCGGCGCUGCAAGUCGCACGAAAUUGAGCAAUAACAGGUCUGUGAUGCCCUUAGAUGUCCGGGGCCGCACGUGCGCUACAAUGACGGUGCCAGCGAGCAUGGAAACCUGGCCCGAAAGGGUUGGGCAAACUUUUCAUCACCGUCGUGACUGGGAUCGGGGCUUGCAAUUAUUCCCCGUGAACGAGGAAUUCCUAGUAAGUGCAAGUCAUAAGCUUGCGCUGAUUACGUCCCUGCCCUUUGUACACACCGCCCGUCGCUACUACCGAUUGAAUGGUUAAGCUGAGGUAAUCGGAU